rnacentral:rRNA from 1 species
CCUACGGGAGGCUGCAGUGAGGAAUAUUGGUCAAUGGGCGUAAGCCUGAACCAGCCAAGUAGCGUGCGGGAAGACGGCCCUAUGGGUUGUAAACCUCUUUUGUGCGGGGAUAACACCCUCCACGUGUGGAGGUCUGCAGGUACCGGACGAAUAAGCACCGGCUAAUUCCGUGCCAGCAGCCGCGGUAAUACGGAAGGCGCGAGCGUUAUCCGGAUUUAUUGGGUUUAAAGGGAGCGUAGGCCGGUCAUUAAGUCAGCCGGGAAAUUUGGUGGCUCAACCAGGACAGUGCGGUUGAAACUGGACGCCUUGAGUGCACAAAAGGCAGGCGGAAUUCGUGGUGUAGCGGUGAAAUGCAUAGAUAUCACGAGGAACCCCGAUUGCGAAGGCAGCCUGCCGGGGUGUGACUGACGCUGAAGCUCGAAGGCGCGGGUAUCAAACAGGAUUAGAUACCCGGGUAGUC